GACGAACGCUGGCGGCAUGCUUAACACAUGCAAGUCGAGGGGGAAGUGGUGCUUGCACCAUGGUAACCAUGACGGACGGGUGAGUAACUCGUAAGUAAGUUACCUGCGGGACCGGGAGAACAGCAGGAAGGUGCUGACAAGACCGGAUAAGGUCAUUCAGCUGAAUAGCGUAGUGAGGAAGCGAGACGCCUGCGGAGGGCCUUGCGUCCUAUUAGCUAGUUGGAGGGGUCACGGCCCACCAAGGCGAAGAUAGGGAGCCGGCCUGAGGGGGUGAACGGCCACAAGGGGACGGAGGGCCGGCGCUUACUCCUACGGGAGGCAGCAGUGGGGAAGAUUGGACAACGGGGGGAGCCCUGAUCCAGCAAUCCUGUGUGCACGAAGACGGUUUUCGGAUGGUAAAGGGCUUUCAGCAGGGAAGAAGGAAGUGACGGUACCUGCAGAAGAAGCGACGGCUAACUACGUG
rnacentral:rRNA from 1 species